UACGAAGGGGGCUAGCGUUGCUCGGAAUUACUGGGCGUAAAGGGCGCGUAGGCGGAUACUUAAGUCGGGGGUGAAAGCCCGGGGCUCAACCUCGGAAUUGCCUUCGAUACUGGGUAUCUUGAGUUCGGGAGAGGUGAGUGGAACUCCGAGUGUAGAGGUGAAAUUCGUAGAUAUUGGGAAGAACACCGGUGGCGAAGGCGGCUCACUGGCUCAUUACUGACGCUCAGGCGCGAUAGCGUGGGGAUCAAACAGG
rnacentral:rRNA from 1 species